CAACGGUGAAACUCAAAGGAAUUGACGGGGGCCCGCACAAGCGGAGGAACAUGUGGUUUAAUUCGAUGAUACGCGAGGAACCUUACCCGGGCUCAAACGCCAAAGGACAGCCGUUGAAAGGCGGCCUCCCUCCGGGGUCUUUGGCGAGGUGCUGCAUGGUUGUCGUCAGCUCGUGCCGUGAGGUGUCGGCUUAAGUGCCAUAACGAGCGCAACCCCCAUCGACAGUUGCUAACGGGUAGAGCCGAGGACUCUGUCGAGACUGCCGGCGCAAGCUGCGAGGAAGGCGGGGAUGACGUCAAAUCAGCACGGCCCUUACGUCCGGGGCGACACACGUGUUACAAUGGCCGGUACAGCGGGAUGCCAGGGCGCGAGCCCGAGCGGAACCCGAAAACCGGUCUCAGUUCGGAUUGGAGUCUGCAACCCGACUCCAUGAAGCUGGAUUCGCUAGUAAUCGCGCAUCAGCCACGGCGCGGUGAAUACGUUCCCGGGCCUUGUACACACCGCCCGUCAAGCCAUGGGAG
rnacentral:rRNA from 1 species